UGUCUCCUCCAAUCCUCCUCCUUUGGUGGAUAUUCAGCCCGGCUCUUGAGCCGGGCAUUUUUUU
rnacentral:ncRNA from 1 species